ensembl:lncRNA
AGUCUGAAGAGCCUGACCCACCUUGAGGCCUUGGAAAACCUCACCAGCUAACGUGUUGCAGUAUUGCUUAGGGGUGAGCUGUGCUGAUGCCACUGCUGUACUCUUGCUGGUUUGGAGCAUGGGGUCUGCCUGGCCAGGUCUGGGAGGAGCUGGGAAGAUGGACUGGUUUGCAGUGCUGUUUGAAAGCAGCACAGACCCCUUUCCUAGCAGAAUGUUUAAUGGAAUCUGCUUCCUUGAAACCAAAAUGAGGCAACAGCUGUGAUUGCAGCAAGCUGUAACAUCUCAUUACUGGAUGGAGGCACGUCCUGUUACAAGUGGUGCUGCUGCAAAACCUCAGCAAAAGAACCUACUGAGACCUGCCUGGCUGGGGGCUGUGAACUCCCCUGAGGUGAGCUGAAGACCCAGCUUCACUUGGUUUCUUUGAAGAAAGAGCUGUACAUACUCCAGCCAACUUCAGUGAAGAGAAGCUUCAGUAAACCUAGACCUGAAUUUGAGAGAAUGUGGCUCAAUAGGUGGGUUUCUGUGAAAACUAAGUC